rnacentral:lncRNA from 1 species
CAUUUUCAUUGUGGAGCUGGGCUGGAGAGCCUGGAGAUGCAAACCGCGAAGGCGUGAGCACUAAGCGGCACGAGUGUCUGCUCCUGAUGGAGGACUAAAGAGCGUCCCGUGUCCCCGUUGCUAUGUGUCUCUGUACAUUUCUCACGAUUACAUCGCAUCCUCCUCUGCUCAUAGCAUCGCCUUGGUUAACCAGGGGGCACUUGAAGAAAGGCAUGGCCAGAUUGACGGCGAAACUGCAAAAUGGCAGCGGGUCUGAGAGGAACACAGAUGAGCUCCAGUCGAUAAAGCUGCACCUGCAGAAGCGCAGCCGCCGCAGAGGCAGGACACCAGGGGACACCUGAGUUUGUCCUUGUGUCGUGUUUUUUAAAGUCUUAGAGGCAGAAUCAAAGGCAGGGGCUCGCCAGUAUGUCGCGGUGCCAAACACCAGAGA